AGUGAAACUCCAUCUCAAAAAAAGAAAGAAAGGAAACUCCUCAGGCCCAGGAAAACCUGAAUGGUUGCUCACUCUAAAUUGCAUUUAAAUAGAAUUUUAUAAAAUGCAAACUAAUCUGUUAAUGACAAAUUAUGUCAGGUAUUACCUAGGGAUAGAAGAUGGGGAGGGACCUGGGGAGUGAAGAAUUAUGCAGGGGCAAAAGGAAACUUCAGAGUGUGGUAGAAGUUUUAAUUAUCUUGAUUGUGAUGAUGGUAACAAGGAUGUAUGCAAACCUCAAAAGGCAUAAUAAUGUAUGCUUUAAACAUGCAUAGUUUUUUGUAUGUUAAUUAACCUCAGAAUGCUGUGAAAAAUAAAUAUACUGACUUGGCUGAAAAAAGAAAGAAAAGAAAGGAAGGAAGAAAGGAAGAAAGGAAGGAAGGAAGGAAGGAAAAUGUAGCAGUUGAACAUUCAAAAAAAAUGCAGUAUAUCUAAAACAAAGAGAACCAAAGAGAGAGAGAGAGAGAGAGAGCAAAAGAGUGAGAAAGAGAGAGCAGAGAGAAGCUGGAGAGAGAGACAAGGCUUGAUAGCCCGCAUUAAGAAUUGUAUUUCCUAAGUCCAUAAGAAAUCAUUGAAUGUGGAUUGACCAAUCCAUUUUUCAUAUAAUUUGAAAGAUCGUUCUGGUUAUUGUGUGGAAAAUUAUUUGAAGCAGCCAAACUUGGAAGUUGUGGAGACCAAAUGUAUUUGUCAGUAUAAGUUUUGUGGUCCUGUAGUAAUCAAUAUUCCCCGAUUCUCAGUGGCUCAAACAAUAAAAAUGUUUUUCUCAUUCAGGCUACACAUCUUUCAUGGAUUCUGGUCCACGUCGUCCUCACGCGGGGAUGCGUACUGACAAGUUUCCACCAUGAAGGGUUGUUGUUUACCCCAGCAGGGAGAGGAAAAUGGAGCAGAUCACUCACCAGCUCGUCACACAGCAGAGUGGCCCACGUCACAUCUGCUGAUAUGUUAUGGCCAAAGUACACGAUUAUCUCCAAGGGGCUGAGAGGUGAAAUACCGACAUUUGUCUGGAUGAAGAACCAGAAUAGUCAUAAACAUCCUAUGUACUACAGUAUUCUAGAGGUAACUGUUUGCCUAAAUCCAGCACUUCAGACUGGAAAAGCCUUUAUAAACAUUUGCUCACCAUUGGGUGUGAAAAAUAAUCCAGAAGUUUAAAGAGAAUGCUGUUUUCCACGAACUGUAAUAAAUGCUUUGCCUUUCCUGGAGCCCUUAAACGGGCUGACUUGAAAAGCACCAUGACCUGUCACUAUAAGAGGAGAAGCCUUGGGAGAAGAGAGGAGUUUCCCAAGAUCCAUCCCCCUACAGCUAAAUCAACACUCUUUAUCCUUAGCUGCUGAUAAUCCCACCAACUGCUUCCUGGUAAGAUCUAUAAUGCGUGAGGUCUUCCUUCUUAGUUGUUUGCAAACAUCAGUGAUUAGGGAC
rnacentral:lncRNA from 1 species